rnacentral:rRNA from 1 species
GACGAACGCUGGCGGCGUGCUUAACACAUGCAAGUCGAACGGAAAGGCCCUGCUUUUGUGGGGUGCUCGAGUGGCGAACGGGUGAGUAACACGUGAGUAACCUGCCCUUGACUUUGGGAUAACUUCAGGAAACUGGGGCUAAUACCGGAUAGGAGCUCCUGCUGCAUGGUGGGGGUUGGAAAGUUUCGGCGGUUGGGGAUGGACUCGCGGCUUAUCAGCUUGUUGGUGGGGUAGUGGCUUACCAAGGCUUUGACGGGUAGCCGGCCUGAGAGGGUGACCGGCCACAUUGGGACUGAGAUACGGCCCAGACUCCUCCGGGAGGCAGCAGUGGGGAAUAUUGCACAAUGGGCGGAAGCCUGAUGCAGCAACGCCGCGUGCGGGAUGACGGCCUUCGGGUUGUAAACCGCUUUCGCCUGUGACGAAGCGUGAGUGACGGUAAUGGGUAAAGAAGCACCGGCUACCUACGU